GAUGAACGCUAGCGGCAGGCCUAACACAUGCAAGUCGAGGGGGAAGUUACUUUCGGGUGACUGAGACCGGCGUACGGGUGCGUAACGCGUAUACAAUCUGCCUUUCACUGGGGGACAGCCCGAAGAAAUUUGGAUUAAUACCCCAUAGUAUAUAGGGACGGCAUCGUUUUUAUAUUAAAGCUUAGGUGGUGAAAGAUGAGUAUGCGUUCUAUUAGCUAGUUGGAGAGGUAACGGCUCCCCAAGGCGAUGAUAGAUAGGGGUUCUGAGAGGGAUGUCCCCCACACUGGUACUGAGAUACGGACCAGACUCCUACGGGAGGCAGCAGUGAGGAAUAUUGGACAAUGGUCGGAAGACUGAUCCAGCCAUGCCGCGUGCAGGAUGAAGGUCUUAUGGAUUGUAAACUGCUUUUGUAAGGGAAGAAUAAGGGCUACGCGUAGUUUGAUGACGGUACCUUACGAAUAAGCAUCGGCUAACUCCGUG
rnacentral:rRNA from 1 species